AGCUGGUCCAAGUGCAGUGGUGUUUACAAGUAAUUGGCCACAACCAGUUAUAGAUUCCUCUGUUCCUUCGACACUCCCCACUCCGCUGCUCUGCUUGAUCAGCCUUAA
ensembl:misc_RNA Y_RNA Y RNA